CUCUUAAUUAGAGACUCGUAUGAACGGUGAAACAUUUCAAUUACUUUAUUAAUUAACUUUAUCAAAUUUAAACCAAGAAUAAAAAUGUUCUUAUAAAUUAAUUAGACGACAAGACCCUUUUGAACUUUACUAUUGUUUAGCUGGGGUAGCUAUAAAAUAUUAAUCUUCUUAACUUUAUUUAUAUAAAUGACCCAAUUCAAUUGAUUAUUUGAACAAGUUACCAUAGGGAUAACAGCGUAAUAUUUUUUAAAAGUUCUUAUUUAAAAAAAUGAUUGCG
rnacentral:rRNA from 1 species